rnacentral:rRNA from 1 species
GACGAACGCUGGCGGCGUGCUUAACACAUGCAAGUCGAACGGAAAGGCCCUGCUUUUGUGGGGUGCUCGAGUGGCGAACGGGUGAGUAACACGUGAGUAACCUGCCCUUGACUUUGGGAUAACUUCAGGAAACUGGGGCUAAUACCGGAUAGGAGCUCCUGCUGCAUGGUGGGGGUUGGAAAGUUUCGGCGGUUGGGGAUGGACUCGCGGCUUAUCAGCUUGUUGGUGGGGUAGUGGCUUACCAAGGCUUUGACGGGUAGCCGGCCUGAGAGGGUGACCGGCCACAUUGGGACUGAGAUACGGCCCAGACUCCUACGGGAGGAAGCGGUGGGGAAUAUUGCACAAUGGGCGGAAGCCUGAUGAAGCAACGCCGCGUGCGGGAUGACGGCCUUCGGGUUGUAAACCGCUUUCGCCUGUGACGAAGCGUGAGUGACGGUAAUGGGUAAAGAAGCACCGGCUAACUACGUG